rnacentral:lncRNA from 10 species
GAGAGAGAGAGAGAAAGGGUGACAAGAUGACAUGUGGAUGGCCACACAAGGAGAGACGAGGACUGAAAAGAGAAAUGGCAGUCAAUGCUGUCAUUUUUGCUAAUAUUUCCCUGACCCUCCCCACCAUUUCAACAAGCAGCUUUGCUGUCACACCCAUCUCUUUUAUAAGCAUGCUCUUUCCCCUGACUUGGUAAAACUGCUUUCAUUUAAAGAGCUCUGCUCUGCUUCUCCUUGGGGGGUAGUACCUCUUGAACAGCCUUUCUGUACAUCUAAAGUUGUCAAAAAGAUCCUUUCCAUUUUUGCUCUUAGUAGAGGUUUCUUUUUUUUCUUGCUUUCUUUUUUUUUUUUUCCUGCCCUGAGCAAAACCUGGUGACGGUCUUUCCAUUCCAUCUGGAAUUAUGGGGCAAUGGACCUAGAUAUUUCUCCUAGUGCCUUCAACCCCUAAAUAAAACAGAACUAGAAUUAAUAAUCUGAAGGGAGAGGAGGCUACCUUAUGGAAAUGCAGGUCAAAUGGGAGGAGCAGAGUACCUGGAGAAGUUCACAGUGAGACUGGAAUUUAGCUUUCUACCUGGGUAGACAGAAGCAGAGAAAAGUAAAACAGGUAAGUGAAAGAUUUUGUCUGGACUCACGUAAAGUUCCCAGAAAUAAGUACUAACAAUGCUAUUUUCCUCAUUUGUUAGGAAACUUUUGGAAAUGAUACUUUAAGGGAAGGAGGAGGACGUGAGAGUUAUCUGGCUGCCGCUCCACUGAGUGCCAGGGUUGAUUCAGCUGAUCUGGCUGGCUAGGCGGGUGUCCCCUUCCUCUCUCACUGCUCCAUGUGCAUCUCUCCUGAAGCUGUGUGCUUGGUUGAAGAGGACGACCUUGUCCCCAGUCCAGGGUAUAUGAGUAGCUGCGUUCCCCUGCUGGAACCUCCAAAUAAGCUCUCAAGGGCAGGAGGAGAUCUUAUUUACAUUAUUGUCUCUUCUCAUUGUAUUUGUUCCAUUUCUACCUUUUUUACACCAUAGGCUUUUUACAGAUUAUGAAUCUUUUAUAAUUAUUUUUCGAAAUAGUUUCAUGGUUGUAUUAGAUUGUUAGAUGUAUAUUAAAUCUUUAUUGAGUCCUUAUGAUGCAAUUAAUCUGUGACUCUUGUUUGCAUUCUGCAUCAAGGACCUUUAUUUCAUAAACAAUUGCAUGCCAAGUAUACUUUAUCAACAUGAUCAUUAAAGGAGGGC